AUCCAACUGACGAUUUCCAAAUAGGACGAAACGCGCAUCCUGGAU
rnacentral:hammerhead_ribozyme from 1 species